GGCGGAGAGGCGGGACGGCGGGCGCUCGUCGCUCUGGGGACACCGGUUCGAGUCCCCGUCUCGGCAAGGCCGCGGGUGGGGGGGUCCUCGGCGUGGCAGCCACAAGAAGGUGAUAUUUUCUAGACCUCUGGUCACGCCCUCUGAAUUCUCCCCAGUAUGGUUUUACAUCCUCCUUGAAGUAUGGCUGCACAGCACUGAAGGUCAUCCUCCAUCUGAGUCUGCACCAGCAGCAAGCAGAGAAUAUUUCUGAGGGAGCUUUCCAAUGACCCUGGUAAAAAACUGUGUGAUUAAGCUGAGCUAAAACAACAUUAGUGACCAGAAGAACAAAUCUAGAAGGCUACUAAAGAAAAACAGGAUGCUCCUGAUGGUAAGCCAGCCAGCCUGUUGUAGAGGGAUCACACCAUUUGAACAUGUGGAGGACUGGCUGACACCCUCCUGCAGCUGCCAAUGGUUGAAGGAAUAGGCAGGUAUAUACAGUUUUAGGAUUACACGUGUAUAUAUAUAAAUGCAAUAAAGGCAUCUAGUUCGUGGGUGCCACUGCUUCAGAAGUGAUCACUCUAGUACCCUGCAAUGCCACACAUUUAAGUGCUAUCAUUAAAGGAAACGAACCACAUGUAUUUGCAUCCAAACUCGUAUCCCACCCUUGCACCUGGUGGCAGCUCAGCCACCACAGCGCCUCCCAACAAGCUCUCAAUGAGAUAAUUAACUGGAGACAUCAGACGCAUCAGCUUCAUUACUGCUGUGAAAGGCCUGCAGGUUCCCUCCAAAGCCUUUCCACCUAAUGGCCUUUACUGCCAGCUCUCUUUUUUUCCCUAAGUGCCGGUUGUUGGCACUUCUCUAAAACAGUGCUAAUGAUCUAAUAAAUAUGAUU